rnacentral:rRNA from 1 species
GUGAGGAAUUUUCCGCAAUGGGCGAAAGCCUGACGGAGCAAUGCCGCGUGAAGGAUGAAGGCCUAUGGGUUGUAAACUUCUUUUCUCAGAAAAGAAUUAUGACGGUAUCUGAGGAAUAAGCAUCGGCUAAUUCUGUGCCAGCAGCCGCGGUAAGACAGAGGAUGCAAGCGUUAUCCGGAAUGAUUGGGCGUAAAGCGUCUGUAGGUUGUUUAAAAAGUAUUCUGUCAAAGAUUAGGGCUUAACCAUAGAUAGGCAGAAUAAACUUUUAAGCUAGAGUUUGGUAGAGGCAGAGGGAAUUCCCGGUGGAGCGGUGAAAUGCGUAGAUAUCGGGAGGAACACCAAAGGCGAAGGCACUCUGCUGGGCCAAUACUAACACUGAGAGACGAAAGCGAGGGGAGCAAAUGGGAUUAGAAACCCGAGUAGUCC